UGCAUGAAGCUGGAAUCGCUAGUAAUCGCGGAUCAGAAUGCCGCGGUGAAUACGUUCCCGGGUCCUUGUACACACCGCCCGUCACACCAUGGGAGUCGGGAAUGCCCGAAGCCGGUGACCGAACCGCAAGGACGGAGCCGUCGAAGGCAGAUUCGAUAACUGGGGUGAAGUCGUAACAAGGUAGC
rnacentral:rRNA from 1 species